rnacentral:rRNA from 1 species
GAUGAACGCUGGCGGCGUGCUUAAUACAUGCAAGUCGAGCGAAGCGCUUUAACGGAAUUCUUCGGAAGGAAGAUAAAGUGACUGAGCGGCGGACGGGUGAGUAACGCGUGGGUAACCUGCCUCAUACAGGGGGAUAACAGUUAGAAAUGGCUGCUAAUACCGCAUAAGCGCACAGGACCGCAUGGUCUGGUGUGAAAAACUCCGGUGGUAUGGGAUGGACCCGCGUUGGAUUAGGUAGUUGGUGGGGUAACGGCCUACCAAGCCGACGAUCCAUAGCCGGCCUGAGAGGGUGGACGGCCACAUUGGGACUGAGACACGGCCCAGACUCCUACGGGAGGCAGCAGUAGGGAAUAUUGCACAAUGGGGGAAACCCUGAUGCAGCGACGCCGCGUGAAGGAAGAAGUAUCUCGGUAUGUAAACUUCUAUCAGCAGGGAAGACAAUGACGG